rnacentral:rRNA from 1 species
UCCCAAUGGCAAGUCGAGCGGAGAGAGGUAGCUUGCUACUGAUCUUAGCGGCGGACGGGUGAGUAAUGCUUAGGAAUCUGCCUAUUAGUGGGGGACAACAUUUCGAAAGGAAUGCUAAUACCGCAUACGUCCUACGGGAGAAAGCAGGGGAUCUUCGGACCUUGCGCUAAUAGAUGAGCCUAAGUCGGAUUAGCUAGUUGGUGGGGUAAAGGCCUACCAAGGCGACGAUCUGUAGCGGGUCUGAGAGGAUGAUCCGCCACACUGGGACUGAGACACGGCCCAGACUCCUACGGGAGGCAGCAGUGGGGAAUAUUGGACAAUGGGCGCAAGCCUGAUCCAGCCAUGCCGCGUGUGUGAAGAAGGCCUUAUGGUUGUAAAGCACUUUAAGCGAGGAGGAGGCUACUUUAGUUAAUACCUAGAGAUAGUGGACGUUACUCGCAGAAUAAGCACCGGCUAACUCUGUGCCAGCAGCCGCGGUAAUACAGAGGGUGCAAGCGUUAAUCGGAUUUACUGGGCGUAAAGCGCGCGUAGGCGGCUAAUUAAGUCAAAUGUGAAAUCCCCGAGCUUAACUUGGGAAUUGCAUUCGAUACUGGUUAGCUAGAGUGUGGGAGAGGAUGGUAGAAUUCCAGGUGUAGCGGUGAAAUGCGUAGAGAUCUGGAGGAAUACCGAUGGCGAAGGCAGCCAUCUGGCCUAACACUGACGCUGAGGUGCGAAAGCAUGGGGAGCAAACAGGAUUAGAUCCCCGGGGGGAGCCCAA